ACAGGGCGAGGCGGGGGCAGGACCUGGGACCCAGCCACCCCGGAGGAAACCGGAGAGGAAACCAGCUUGGUCUUGCUCUCUGCCUCGUCCCAAUCCCCGGCUCUUACCAAAUGCAGGUGCAGUCUCCUCAGAACUACAAAGCAAGAAAAGAUCACCUUUGGGCUCAGGAACUCACAGUCGUUCUCCCUCUCCCGGAAGGCACAAUGACCAGGACAGUACCGAGCUUUACAGCCAUAUUGAACUCACCAUCAACUCAGCACAUUCAACUCAAUCAGUCAAAAUCGUCUUUUCCUGCUGGUAAAUAACACUGAAAUUGUGGGAAGAUGGGAUGGUAAGAACAA
rnacentral:lncRNA from 1 species